rnacentral:misc_RNA from 1 species
GGAAGGAUCAUUAACUGGCCUUGGGCCGCUCCCGGGAGUCAGUCGCUUGCGAUGAUGCUACCGGGAACGCUUAGCCCUUGACUAUCACCUUGACUAUGUGCACCUUUUGUUGUUUCCUCGGCAGGUCCCCUGCCGCCAGGAACCCCACAACCCUUUUGCAUUAGCAUCCAAACCUCUGAAAAUAAAACAAAUUAUUUACAACUUUUAACAAUGGAUCUCUUGGUUCUGGCAUCGAUGAAGAACGCAGCGAAAUGCGAUAAGUAGUGUGAAUUGCAGAAUUCAGUGAAUCAUCGAAUCUUUGAACGCACAUUGCGCCCCAUGGUAUUCCGUGGGGCAUGCCUGUUCGAGCGUCAUUUACCCCCUCAAGCUCUGCUUGGUGUUGGGCGUCUGUCCCGCUUCGCGCGCGGACUCGCCCCAAAGGUAUUGGCAGCGGUCGUGCCAGCUUCUCGCGCAGCACAUUGCGCUUCUCGAGGCACCGGCGGAUUCGCGUCCAUCAAGCCCACUUCCCCAUUUUGACCUCGGAUCAGGUAGGGAUACCCGCUGAACUUAAGCAUAUCAAUAAGCGGAGGAAAAGAAACCAACAGGGAUUGCCCUAGUAACGGCGAGUGAAGCGGCAACAGCUCAAAUUUGAAAUCUGGCCUCCUUUGGUGGUCCGAGUUGUAAUUUGCAGAGGGCGCUUUGGCGUCGGCAGCGGUCUAAGUUCCUUGGAACAGGACAUCACAGAGGGUGAGAAUCCCGUACGUGGUCGCCUGCCUUCGCCGUGUAAAGCCCCUUCGACGAGUCGAGUUGUUUGGGAAUGCAGCUCUAAAUGGGAGGUAAAUUUCUUCUAAAGCUAAAUACCGGCCAGAGACCGAUAGCGCACAAGUAGAGUGAUCGAAAGAUGAAAAGCACUUUGGAAAGAGAGUCAAACAGCACGUGAAAUUGUUAAAAGGGAAGCGCUUGCAGCCAGACUUGCUCGUAGUUGCUCAUCUGGGCUUUUGCCCAGAGCACUCUUCUGCGAGCAGGCCAGCAUCAGUUUGGGCGACCGGAUAAUGGCCUCUGUCAUGUAUCUUCCUUCGGGAUGACCUUAUAGGGGAGGCGUAAUGCGGCCAGCCCGGACUGAGGUCCGCGCAUCUGCUAGGAUGCUGGCGUAAUGGCUGUAAGCGGCCCGUCUUGAAACACGGACCAAGGAGUCUAACAUCUAUGCGAGUGUUUGGGUGUCAAGCCCGGGCGCGUAAUGAAAGUGAACGGAGGUGGGAACCCUCUUUUUGGGGGGUGCACCAUCGACCGAUCCUGAUGUCUUCGGAUGGAUUUGAGUAAGAGCAUAGCUGUUGGGACCCGAAAGAUGGUGAACUAUGCUUGAAUAGGGUGAAGCCAGAGGAAACUCUGGUGGAGGCUCGCAGCGGUUCUGACGUGCAAAUCGAUCGUCAAAUUUGGGCAUAGGGGCGAAAGACUAAUCGAACUAUCUAGUAGCUGGUUCCUGC